ensembl:snRNA U1 U1 spliceosomal RNA
AUACUUCCUGGGCAGAGAAGAUACCGUGAUCACGAAGGUGGUUUUCCCAGGGCGAGACAUCCGUUGUACUCCAGAUGUGCUGACCCCUGCAAUUUCCCCAAAUGUGGGAAACUCAACUGCAUAAUUUGUAGUAGUGGGGUACUGAGUUCACGCUCUCCUCUA